AUCUGGUCACACCUCAGUGGGAAGGUCUCCUGGUUAACUUGCAGUGGUUGAAACUCUAAAAUCAAAUCUGCCUGAAGUCUCCUGUUUGAUACUGUGGUGUGGUUGUAAUUCACCCUCCCCAGAACGUACUGGCAAGCGGAUCAUCCUGCUGUUGGGCCGGAAAGGGCUCUCUGGUCGGGAUAGAGUCAGCCAGCCCUGAUAUAAAGCUGCUGCAGCUUACCGGAGACCCUGCUGCUUUAUUUUUGUUUGUUUAUUUAACUUUGGUUGUUUUGAGUUAUCCUAUUGUCCUGUGUGGCCUCCGGCUUUGCUGCAUGAUGUAACUUUUU